GACAGAGGAUGCAAGCGUUAUCCGGAAUGAUUGGGCGUAAGCGUCUGUAGGUGGCUUUUUAAGUCCGCCGUCAAAUCCCAGGGCUCAACCCUGGACACGGCGGUGGAAACUACCAAGCUGGAGUACGGUAGGGGCAGAGGGAAUUUCCGGUGGAGCGGUGAAAGUGCGUAGAGAUCGGAAAGAACACCAACGGCGAAAACACUCUGGCUGGGCCGACACUGACACUCGAGAGACGAAAGACUAGGGAGCGAAUGGGAUUAGACUAC
rnacentral:rRNA from 1 species